UCUCCUGGAAAACGGGUGGUAAUGCCGGAUGCUCCGACUCCUCGCAUGGGGUGUCGGGAAAGAUUUCAUCGGUAUGGGAUGGGGUCGCGUCCUAUCAGGUAGUCGGCGGGGUAACGGCCCACCGAGCCUACGACGGGUAGCCGGCCUGAGAGGGCGACCGGCCACAUUGGGACUGAGAUACGGCCCAGACUCCUACGGGAGGCAGCAGUGGGGAAUAUUGCACAAUGGGCGCAAGCCUGAUGCAGCGACGCCGCGUGCGGGAUGACGGCCUUCGGGUUGUAAACCGCUUUUGAUCGGGAGCAAGCCUUCGGGUGAGUGUACCUUUCGAAUAAGCACCGGCUAACUACGUGCCAGCAGCCGCGGUAAUACGUAGGGUGCAAGCGUUAUCCGGAAUUAUUGGGCGUAAAGGGCUCGUAGGCGGUUCGUCGCGUCCGGUGUGAAAGUCCAUCGCUUAACGGUGGAUCUGCGCCGGGUACGGGCGGGCUGGAGUGCGGUAGGGGAGACUGGAAUUCCCGGUGUAACGGUGGAAUGUGUAGAUAUCGGG
rnacentral:rRNA from 1 species